UCUAAUACCGGAUACUGACCCUUGCAGGCAUCUGCGAGGUUCGAAAGCUCCGGCGGUGAAGGAUGAGCCCGCGGCCUAUCAGCUUGUUGGUGAGGUAAUGGCUCACCAAGGCGACGACGGG
rnacentral:rRNA from 2 species